rnacentral:lncRNA from 10 species
AAAGGAGGAGGGGUCAUUUCCCCACUCUCAAUGCAGUUGAAAAACACUAAUCUGGGUGAACUUACCUUUGAUUAUUCGACAAAAGCCGAGUCAGGAUGGUCCUUUAUGGGAGACAGAAAUAUGGAUCAGGGUGUAUGGGGUCCUGAGGAAUCAUAUGAAGACCCAUUGUUUGUAAACCAAGUCCUAUUCCAGAACCCUAGGGAUAACAGAUUGCUAAAGGAGACCUAUAGGGAAAAUUCAGAGAAGGAUUCAUAAUGUUCCUCGCAGCAAUUGCCUCUGACAAGAGACAGAAAUCUGGAGAAGGCUGAAGAAUCACUUUUCACUGCAUAGUCUUUGUAUCAUUUAAUGAAUUACCUUUCCAAAGAAAAUAAGUAUUUAGUAUUUGAAAGUAUACGGAAAUGCUCAGGAUAUAUAUAUUUUAAAGUAUUUACAAAAGUAUGUACAAGAUGACCAACUCUGGAAAAAUACAUACACAUGGAAAAGACUCGCUGGUGAGAUUUGCAGCAAUAAAGGUGGGCUGAGGUGAGUUGCUUGGUGGAAUAAAAGGAAAGUGUGGUGUGUGCACCUCAGGUGGUCCAAGGGAUGAGUUUAGGUUUUAAGUGCAUUGUGGUUGUUAAUUUUAAUAUUUUUGCAUUUAUUUUAUGAAGACCUCCUUUCUUGGCAAAUAACAUAAGCUUUUCAUUUGUGGAAGUAAUAUAGUUUCCUUUUUAAAUGCAUUUGCUUUUAACGUGAGUCAAUUUAUUUAGUUAGUUAUUUUAUUUUAUUAUUUUUUUGAGACGGAGUCUCUCUCUGUCACCCAGGCUGGAGUGCAGUAGCACGAUCUCGGCUCACUGCAACCUCCGCCUCCUGGGUUCAAGCGAUUCUCCCGCCUCAGCCUCCCGAGUAGCUGGGAUUACAGGUGUGCACCACCACACCCGGCUAAUUUUUUGUAUUUUUAGUAGAGAUGGGAUUUCACUAUGUGGGCCAGGCUGGUCUUGAACUCCUGACCUCAGGUAAUCUGCCUGCCUCAGCCUCUCAAAGUGCUGGGAUUACAGGCGUGAGCCACUGCACUUGACCUGAGUCAAUUUAAAGAAAAAUAAGUGAAUAAUGGGACAGGUGGUAUGAGGAUAUGGGAACAUAUAUAGAGGUUCUGGGCAAAGGCCGAAGUUGAGGAUUGCUGUAUUUUUUCCCACUAGGCUCCCAUGUAGGGGGGUUACAGGAAGAGAGACUCCAAUGUAGGUACUCUUCUUUCAGGAGGAGGGACCAUGCUGUUUCUCCGCUCAAUAAGCCCCUCCACGUCCUGGGGCCUGUAUGCUUACUGUUCCCUCUCCUAGAAUGUGCACCAAAGUUCCUCGCCUUUGUUGAUUGAUCCUUCUUUUCAUUCAGCUCACAGAUCGCCUCCUCAGGGAGGCCUUACCUGGCCACUGUAUUUAAAGUGGUCUCCUUCAGUGACCCUCCUUCCCUUCUCCCGGUGUAUUUCCUUCCUAGUGCUGAGUGCUCUGUAACGGACUGUUUGCCUGUGUUGGCAUCUGUUUCCUCCACUAGCCUGUGGGUUCAUGAAGGGCAGGGACUUUUGUCUUGUUUGUGUUGUGCCUGGAGAGUCACCCAAGGCCUGGACCACCUUGAGUUCCAAAUAUUUGUUGCAUAAACAUGUUCUAAGUUGGGAUGUCUCCACUUCAGUUUUAGCCCCUCCCACAGUGCCAACUUGUACCAGUGGCCAAAGUCAGAGAGAGACAGUGAGAGAGAGAGAGAGAGAGAGAGAGAGAGAGAGAGAGAGGAGAGGUGCCAAGGAAGUAUGGUUCAGCAUCAAACACAUUUAUUUCACUUAUAUUGAGUAUACAAGAACAGAGAGCACACGCAUACAGCAC